UACGUAGGGGGCGAGCGUUGUCCGGAAUUAUUGGGCGUAAAGAGCUCGUAGGCGGCUCAGCAAGUCGGCUGUGAAAUCCCGAGGCUCAACCUCGGAACUGCAGUCGAUACUGCUGUGGCUAGAGUCUGGUAGAGGAGAAUGGAAUUCCCGGUGUAGCGGUGAAAUGCGCAGAUAUCGGGAGGAACACCAGUAGCGAAGGCGGUUCUCUGGGCCAGUACUGACGCUGAGGAGCGAAAGCGUGGGUAGCAAA
rnacentral:rRNA from 1 species